rnacentral:rRNA from 1 species
CUUGUACACACCGCCCGUCACACCAUGGGAGUUGGUUUUACCUGAAGACGGUGCGCUAACCCGCAAGGGAGGCAGCCGGCCACGGUAGGGUCACCGACUGGGGUGAAGUCGUAACAAGGUAGCCGUAGGGGAACCUGCGGCUGGAUCCCCUCCUUU